UGUAAUUACGGUCAACUUGACCGUACAAAUUCCUAAUACGUUGUCUAAUCACAAACCAUUCAUGUUAAGUCAACAUUUCAUACAGUACAGCAGGGGGCAGUAGCGAGACCCCAGCUGUCAUGAACCGCUAAUGAAACAGAAGAGUGAGACAAUUCAAACUACACCUGCGCUGGAGUUAAUUGACUCUCUGCCCGCGCGCGCGUUACCCUUUGCAGUUCUGUCCGUUUUAACAGAGGAGGUCAACACACGAAAAGUUUUUCUGGUCCUUAAUAAAAGGUGUGCUUUACUCGCAACAGAAUGCAACUGUUGAGAAGAAGAGGGAGUGCCUCAUCAAGGCACUUUGUGUCUACUUAAAUGAAGAACCGGACAGUCUCUUCAAAGAAUAUCUGGAUACAGAUGGCUGUGCUGCAGAGAGGAUCUUGAACAUGUUGUAUUUGGCAUCUACAGCAUCAAUGUUGGAGGUGAUGCCACUACCUCUCCAGCUGAUGUUGGAAUUGUUAUUGAGGGUGUUGAAGUGCUUCAUGACUUGGGAGACAUCGCUACUACAUGUACGGUCUUAAUGUCUCCCAGUUAUUCUCAGGAACUGAAAAUAUUCUUUGAGGUACUGCAGAAGAUCUUCCUCCAGCUGGAUGCUACCAGACUUUCACCAAAAGUACAGAUGCUUAAAAACAAACCAACAUCAAGCACCUGAGUGUAAGAUUCAUACAGUGAGAACCUUUUUUUGUUUUCUAUUUUUUUGUGAGUGACAUGAUUUUUUUCUUAUGUAA